rnacentral:rRNA from 1 species
CAUGCUUAACACAUGCAAGUCGAACGGAAAAUGAUUUCGGUUAUUUUUAGUGGCAAACGAGUGAGUAAUACGUGGGAAUCUACCUCUUGGUGGGGGAUAACUGUGGGAAACCAUAGCUAAUACCGCAUGUGCUUGGAAACAAGUAAAGAUUUAUCGCCAAGAGAUGAGCCCGCGCCGGAUUAGGUAGUUGGUGGGGUAAUGGCCUACCAAGCCUGUGAUCCGUAGCUGGUCUGAGAGGAUGAUCAGCCACAUUGGGAUUGAGAUACGGCCCAGACUCCUACGGGAGGCAGCAGUGAGGAAUAUUGGACAAUGGGGGAAACCCUGAUCCAGCAAUGCCGCGUGAGUGAAGAAGGCCUUCGGGUCGUAAAGCUCUUUCACCCAUGAAGAUGAUGACGGUAAUGGGAGAAGAAGCCCCGGCUAACUCUGUGCCAGCAGCCGCGGUAAUACAGAGGGGGCUAGCGUUGUUCGGAAUGACUGGGCGUAAAGGGUGCGUAGGCGGUUGUUUAAGUAAAGUGUUAAAUCCCCAGGCUCAACCUGGGAGUCGCAUUUAAACUGAAUGACUAGAGUGUGAAAGAGGAAAGUGGAAUUCCUAGUGUAGAGGUGAAAUUCGUAGAUAUUAGGAGGAACAUCAGAGGCGAAGGCGGCUUUCUGGGUCACAACUGACGCUGAGGCACGAAAGCGUGGGGAGCAAAUAGGAUUAGAGACCCUAGUAGUCCACGCCCUAAACGAUGAGCGCUAGACGUUGGAAAUUUUUCAGUGUCGCAGCUAACGCAUGAAGCGCUCCGCCUGAGGAUUACGGUCGCAAGAUUAAAACUUAAAGGAAUUGACGGGGGCCCGCACAAGCGGUGGAGCAUGUGGUUUAAUUCGAAUCUACGCGAAAAACCUUACCAGUUCUUGACAUGGGGAUCGAGGGCUCUGGAAACAGAGUCCGUCAGUUCGGCUGGAUCCCACACAGGUGCUGCAUGGCUGUCGUCAGCUCGUGUCGUGAGAUGUUGGGUUAAGUCCUAUAACGAGCGCAACCCUUGUCCUUAGUUGCUAACGGGUAAAGCUGAGAACUUUAAGGAGACUGCCAGCGAUAAGUUGGCGGAAGGUGAGGAUGACGUCAGGUCAUCAUGGCCCUUAUGGACUGGGCUACACACGUGCUACAAUGGUGGUGACAGAGGAGAGCGAUGGGGUGACCCGGAGCUGAUUUCAAAAAGCCAUCUUAGUUCAGAUUGCUCUCUGCAACUCGAGAGCAUGAAGCCGAAAUCGCUAGUAAUCGCGGAUCAGAACGCCGCGGUGAAUACGUUCACGGGCCUUGUACACACCGCCCGUCAGGUCAUGGGAGUUGGUUCUGCCCGAAGCCGGUUUGCUAACCAUUUUAUGGGGGCGACCGUAUACGGUAGGGUCGA